AGUGAUUUUGUAAGAAUAUAUGUCUUGUUCACUACUUUAUUCCUCAGAGCCUAGAAGCAGGGCAAGGUGCUCAUUAAUGCAAUCAUGAAUGAAUAUGUACUUGGUAUCUGGAUCUGCAUGUGAUAAUUAUUAGCUUUAUAUCUGUUCAUUUUCAAAUUUGUCCUCUAGAAUAGUAAAAUAUUUAUCAUCCCUAAUUCACACUGUUCCAUUAUAAUCUUUUUAUUACUUUGGUGUUAGAAUCUAGCAAUCUUUCCUGUAGAAAACAUAGUCUUGAUUGCCUGGGGUCUGGUCCCUUAUCAACUUUAGUCAAUGACUUUUGAAUUAUUUUCUGUCUGUAGUAGCUCAGCCAACUCAUUGGACUCAAUCUGUUUUCUGCCUUAGAAGAUUUGAAAAAGCCUAUCAUUGAACCAGUGAGAUCUUGCUUAAUCUUUUCAUCUCUAAGAUAGGAAGGUUGAAUCAAGGCUAAUCUUCUUCAUAAUUCAUAAUCUUAAAACUCUUGAAACUUUACAAUUCUUUGGGGUGUCUGUUCAUGUCCUUCUGCAGCUUUAGCAGUAUCCUUCCAAUUUGUAUGCUCAGAUUUAGCAUGAAGUGACUUGUCUUAGGAGUCUUAGGCAGGAGGAGUUAGCUAUAGGUGUGUUUUCUCAACAUUUAUCCUGUAUCUGAAAUUUAAUAGAAUAUGAAUGCUAAAGAUUUAUAGAACUUUUUAACAAACUCAUAUCUAGGCUCAAUAAGAAAGCAUCAAUCAGAUUGGAAAAAAAUGAAUUUGCUUUAAAAGAAAAUUGUUUUAUUAUUGGACAAGUUGUUUGUCAGUCUAUACUAUGUGAUUUUCCAUCCUAGGAAACAAUUAUUACAAGACAUAUUCUUUCUAAGUGUUAUGAAGUGAACUCUGCUGAAUUUUAUGGACUUCAAAAAAAGAUGGAUCCAGAAGAAAAAUAGGAUUAAUUAUCGAUUAGCUUACAGUCUCAGUGAGAUAACGCUGAUGCUGAAGGAGAAAAAGGUAUCCAGGUAAAAAGGCAGAAAGGUGGUUAUUGGAUAGAUUAUCAAUCUUCAAGAGGUGAGAAGUUCUGUUGAAUUUUGUGUGUGUGUGUACGAUAGAAGUAAUAGCUAAUACUCUAGGACAUCAUUUCACUAACCUCAGAUACCAUUUUAUUUAUUGCUCAUAAUAAAUUUAGGAAGUGAAUUCUGUAAUUCUCACUUUAUGAAUGAGGAAAUACAUAAACAUUUCUGCUUCAUAUUUUAUAUUUCUCUCUAUAAAGAGAUGUUAAAAUACCUUGCCUACAUUUAUACAGAUCAUUUUUGCUAGAGUACAGAUUUAAAUGCAAGUUUUUCUGACUCCAGGGCCUAUGCUCUUAACCACUGGGAUUUCUUUCUUUUUGGAGGAAAGUGUUUCUCAAAGUAGGGUCCAGGAUUCUUUGGUGCACUACUAGGAUUCUCUAAUAGCCUAGAAUAGAAUUUUUAAAGUUGAGUCCUUUCUUUCACUUUUUAUAAGCUUCAAAAUGUUGACAUUUCAUAGGCAUGAUUUUUAUGGACUACUAAGGUUCAUAAUCUACAAGGUUGUUAUAAUUUGGUAUUUAUAAAAUAAAACAAGUAUAUUUCUAUAGAAUGCUAGAAAUGUUAUUCUAUUGAGAAGUGUGGCUGCUCAGAUUUACACAUUUUAUAAAUGGUAGAGAUAGAAUUUGAACCAAGGUGCUUUGCUUCUUAGUUGCUCCAGGUCGUCCUGCUGCAUGGCCUGAUUCUCUGUGAUAGUCUACUGCAUCCUUUUUGAGUACCCUCACUUGAUCUCAUUUGGAAAGUCUUUUGAUCCUUGGAAUCAAGGGAUUCCUGUCCAGAACAGAUAUAUAGCCUUAACUGCUUCAGGCAGAAUGGGUUGUGAUUAAGACUUUCCUAAACCAGAUUCCAGGAGUGGGAGAAGCAAUGGAAGGUUUUUGAAUAGAGGACCUCACGUAUUUAGACACCUGUUAAAAGUCUCAAAUUUGUAAAAGCAGACUUAAAAAUACUUUUCAAUUGCCUUGGGUUAUUUUGUCAGUCAGAAAAUGAAGAAAACAAUUUGAGGAAUGCAGAGUCUGGAAUUAAUUCUGACCACAGAGAGAACUAAUUAUUGAUAUGAAAGUGAUAAGAGACUUGGGACAAAGUGACCAUGUUAUCUUAAUUAAUUUCAUGAUAGUAAAGGAAAAAUAGUGAGUAUAGCUGUAGAAUUUAUUCAUAUCAUUAGCAAAUGAAAUUGUAAAUUAUAGAUGAAGCAAACCAAAGCAAUAACAAUGAAGAAAAAAUGUGUAUAUUUGUGUGUGAAUAUGUGCAGUAAUUCCAAAAAAUGAUUUGAUUUAGAAAGAUGGGUAGCUAUUUAAGAAAUAAUUUUAAUUAUACUCACAAAUAAGCCCAAAGAAGAAGGAAAGGGUAGAUGACCUAAAUAAAUCAGUACUGUAGAUUUUCUUUACCAAAACAAGCUGGGGUCAGAGUUAAUAAGAAUUUUAUAAGAGGCUAUUAGGUUGUGGAGUUCAGAAGGUGAUAGGCUAAAUAGAAUAUCAGUUAAUCUGUGAAUAGAACUUCUCCUCUACAAAAUUAAAACUCAGAAAGCAUCUUUUUCUAACCAAAUGAACAAAGUGAAAAAUGAACUUCAGUAAUAAAAUAUAUUCAUAAGUUGGAGUUUGCAUUUGGGUACAUCUGUACAUUUAACUCCUGAGCGUAUAUGAGAAUAAAUGAUUAUAUACCUAUGGAAUUUUAUAAAUAGUGAGCACCAACUAUAUGCCUGACACAUGCUAGACUGAGUAAGUUCAAAGAUGAUUAAGCCAUGAUUUUUGUAUGUACUAUUUUGGGAUUACCCUUAGAUUAUAAAAUACAGCUAUUUUUGAGAAUAAAAUUGUAAAAGAAAAUUAAAAAGUAAUUGUUUGAAGUGUGGAGGCAAAACCCAGUUUCAUUCAUUUAUUUAUUCAGUAAUCAUGUAUUGAGUGCCUAUUGUAUGCCAGACACUGUUUUAAGUACUAAGGAUAUUGUGGGAAAUAAAACAGAUGGGAUUCCUAAUCUCAUGGGAUUAACACAGUGGGGAAGAUAGGUAAUAAAUCCAUGCCUUGGAAAAUUUCAGAAAAUUGUAAGAGCUCUUAAGAACAUAAAACAGGUGACAUGACAGAGAGCAUCUUGGGCAGCUACUUUGGACACGAUACUCAGAGAAGGCUUUUAGAGUAAGUAUCAGUGAGGUUAAACUAGCCAUGUGAAGAUACAGAAGCACAGAGUUUCAGGGUAAGAGGAUGGUAAAUUCUAUGUACUAAUUUGUAAAUUACCUGGUUGUUCCAAGACCAUAAAGAAGACCACUGUGUCUGAGGUGCAUUGAGCAAGAGGAAGAGAGAUAUCAGGGGAGGAUGAAGACAUGUACAAGACAAGAGCACCAAGGCCAGAGAAGGGAGUUUGAAUUUAAUUUUAAGUGCCUGUGCAAAAUCACUGGAGAAAUUUAAUCAGGGAAAGGAAAUGCUCUAAUAUAUGCUCUAAUAAGAUCA
rnacentral:lncRNA from 1 species